rnacentral:rRNA from 1 species
UACGUAGGGUGCAGGCGUUAAUCGGAAUUACUGGGCGUAAAGCGUGCGCAGGCGGUCUUUUAAGUCAGAUGUGAAAUCCCCGGGCUUAACCUGGGAAUUGCAUUUGUGACUGCCCGGCUAGAGUGUGUCAGAGGGGGGUAGAAUUCCACGUGUAGCAGUGAAAUGCGUAGAGAUGUGGAGGAAUACCGAUGGCGAAGGCAGCCCCCUGGGUCAAGACUGACGCUCAUGCACGAAAGCGUGGGGAGCAAACAGG